UGACAACCACCUUUCAAAACUGCCUGCACAUCUCACCAUGGCCCUCAGGAUGACGCUGGCUCCUGUGCAUCCUGCGCCGGGCAUGGUGCCUCACGUGAGGUCAUUUCCACGGCCACGUGUGUCCUCCUGCCGCUUCACAGACGGUGACUUCCACCUCCAUGUCCUCAGACUCCACUCUCCACAGAGCCCUGACUGUCAUUAACUCCCUGACUUAGAAUAUUUCAUCCGUAUUUGUGUAUGAAGGGUCCUUUAUGUUGAAUGUUAUUUAAGCCCUAGGUUUAAUUUUUGUUUUUGUGCAGGAUAGAAAACAGAUGAACACAUACGUUAUCAGAUGGUCUCUCUGUACAAAUAAUGCACGGCCCAGAUGCUUAUGGUCUGGAAUCAUUAGCAUAACAUAUGCUGCUGCUCAGAAACGGCAAGUGCGGCGCAAUUCUGAAACAGCUCCUGCCUUAGCAGGUACAUCCUGGUCUAUGCUCAGGUCUGAUUUUGGCAGAUACACAAGUACCUUCUUGCCAAAGGCUGUGUCCCCAUGUCACUGCUUGUGCCUGGCCCAGAGCAGAGGCUCCGAGUGGUGGCACCACUUCUGUCAUUGUCGGGACCAUGGCUGCCCCUCCUCCCCCUCCUGCUAAACCAACAAGGGCUGUUGACUGAGGGCCCCCGAGGGCCACUGAGUGCACCCCACAGUGGCAGGCACCCUGCAACCAAGUGUCCCUGAGUCCACCCCACCAUGGCAGACACCCUGCAGCUGAGAGGCCCUGAGUGCACCUCACUGUGGCAGGCACCCUGCAGCCAAGUGGCCCUGAGUCCACCUCACCGUGGCAGGCACCCUGCAGCCAAGUGGCCCUGAGUCCACCCCACCGUGGCAGGCACCCUGCAGCUGAGAGGCCCUGAGUGCACCUCACUGUGGCAGGCACCCUGCAGCCAAGCGGCCCUGAGUCCAACCCACCGUGGCAGGCACCCUGCAGCCAAGCGGCACUGAUGAGCCCUUGGAGGUCAGAACUCAGACGCAGAAGCAGACAGUACCUGGAACUGAACCCCUGCAAGCUCCAUGCAGAGAACAGCGUGGCAGCACUCGAGGAGGGAAAGGCUUUGGGGAAGAGGGAGGGAGGCAGAAGGAGCAGCUCAGGGAGCUCAUCAAUGAGGGAGGGUGAGUGGAGCAGAGAUGAAGAGAUGAGAUACACACAGCCAGGGAGGAGGAUGAGAUGGAGAGGGAGAGACAGAGACACAGAAAGACAGAGACAAGCAGACAAGGACAGAGAUAAAAAGACAAAGAGAGACAGAGAUGGGCACACAGAGAAAGAGACAGAGAGACAAGGACAGAGAUGGAGACAAAGCUAGAGACAGACAGGGAGAGAGAUACAGAGAGACAGAGGGAGAGACAUAGAGACAGACGCAGAGACAGAGAGAGGCCGAGAGCGAGAGGAGGAGGGAGAAGAGAUGAUGGGGACAAGGGGAAGCCAAGUCUAAGACAGGAGAGAACCAGUACCAGAACCAGAAGGUGGCUGGGCUUCGAGGGGCCUGGGCCAGUGGCUAGGGGCAUUUCAAGCCUUGCCUGUGCCCCCACACCUGGGCACCCCCCUGUCCACUGCACCCCUGUCCUGUCACCAGACUCGGGGAUGAAGCACUUGUGAAUGGAGAGAGAGGACGCAACUCUGUUCUAACCCGGCAGGUGCUUAGGAUUAAUUCCUGGACAAAUUCAGGAAUUCUCACUCUAGCUGCCCAGAGCCACGGGUGUGACAAUUUCCACAAACUUGUAUUCUGUUUUCAAAAGGAGUCUAGAAUCACCCCCAAAUCCCGGACACUGAAAGCCCCUGGCCAGGAAGCAGUGUAGACCUUUGUUUUUCAAGGAGAUUUUGUUACAGAGAGACAACCCUGCCCCUUGAGUGGCCACUGAGUGCUUGGACCUGCCAGCGUUGUGUGGGUUUGCAUCUGUGUCCAGCAUCUCGUGGGUUUGCACCUGUGCCCGGACCUGCCAGUGUUGCGUGGGUUUGCACCUGUGCCCAGACCUGCUGGCAUCGCGUGGGUUUGCACGUGUCCAGCAUCAUGUAGGUUUGUACCUGUGCCCAGACCUGGCAUUGCGUGGGUUCGCACCUGUGUCCAGCGUUGUGUAGCUUUGCACCUGUACCCGGACCUGCCGGUGACACAUAGGUUUGCACCUGUGUCCAGCAUCGUGUAGGUUUGCACCUGUGCCCGGACCUGCUGGCGUUGCAUGGGUUUGCACCUGUGUCCAGCAUCGUGUAGGUUUGCACCUGUGCCUGGACCUGCCAGCGUUGCAUGGGUUUGCCCCUGUGCCUGGACCUUCUGGCGUUGUGUAGGUUUGCACCUGUACCCAGCGUCACGUGGGUUUGCACCUGUGCCUGGACCUGCCGGCGUCGCAUGGGUUUGCACCUGUGCCUGGACCUGCCAGCGUUGCGUGGGUUUGCCCCUGUGCCUGGACCUUCUGGCGUUGUGUAGGUUUGCACCUGUACCCAGCGUUGCGUGGGUUUGCCCCUGUGCCUGGACCUUCUGGCGUUGUGUAGGUUUGCACCUGUACCCAGCGUCGCGUGGGUUUGCACCUGUGCCUGGACCUGCCGGCGUCGCGUGGGUUCGCACCUGUGUUUAGUCCACCAUCUAUGGAUGUUGAAGAUCCCAGGGACGGCCAAGUUUCAAUUCUGUAGGUGCUAAUUUACUUCAUUUUUCUGGGGCACCAGAGAGUAAAUUUAGAAACCCAAUGCU
rnacentral:lncRNA from 1 species